ensembl:lncRNA
UGGAGGUUGUGAUAGAGUUGGCUGGAGAUUGUGAUAGGGUUGAGAAGUUGGCUGGAGGUUGUGAUAGGGUUGGAGAGUUGGCUGCAGAGCUGGAGGUUGUGAUAGGGUUGGAGAGUUGGCUGGAGGUUGUGAUAGGGUUGGAGAGUUGACUGCAGAGCGCAUUGUCCUCUCAUUCAUUGUCCUCUGAGAAAAAUACCUUCAUCCUGUUAUUUCAUGCUAGUUGGUUUGAGAGGAAAAAACAAUGAGGGAGACUUGAGUCUUGUGACAGGGAUAUGCUAAAACUACUUAAAGCCAUAUCCUGUUUUUAAUGCAUGUGGUUGUUUUGUAGGCUUGAUGUUUGCCCCCCUCUUCUCUGUAACCUCUGUGUUUACUUCCUCUAUGAGUUUACUUUAUUCUAGUGGAUUUGGUCCCAAAGUUGGGUUUCCUCUCAAAGUUUGUGUUUUGGUCCUGGCUAGGAAUCUGGGCCUGUGAGACAUUAUCUGGACUUACUCAGUUAGUAUGGGUUAGCAUCAGGGGUGCAUUUAUUAGUCGGAGUCUGUUGCAAAAAGUUUUGCAAUGAAACCUGUUUACUGUUUGGUUCCUAGAGUAAACCGGCAAAAUGGAACAAAACAGAGAGGACUACCUGAAUUUGUACAAUAGAAACUAGUUUUCAUUGAUAUAAGUUUUACAUUUGCAACGGAAUCCGACUGAUGAAUACACUCCAGCGUUUGAACUCCUUUGUGCUGUUUGUUAAGAGUCCUCAUCACUUCCGCUGCUUUUAUACAAUUUUAACUGAAGCUUGUGGCCACAAUGACAAAUAAUGAAACUUGAUGUAGGCCUAAUCAAUGUUUUACAUCCACAUUUGACAUUACAUGCUUGAUGACUGACGGUUGCCAUAGUUGUGCACUUUCAUGUGCUCUCGUCAAAACGCUAUGAGAUCUUGUGGAGGCUUCUGGAGAUGGCAUCUAGCUAGUCAAAACGCUAUGAGAUCUUGUGGAGGCUUCUGGAGAUGGCAUCUAGCUAGUCAAAACGCUAUGAGAUCUUGUGGAGGCUUCUGGAGAUAGCAUCUAGCUAGUCAAAACGCUAUGAGAUCUUGUGGAGGCUUCUGGAGAUAGCAUCUAGCUAGUCAAAAUGCUAUGAGAUCUUGUGGAGGCUUCUGGAGAUAGCAUCUAGCUAGUCAAAAUGCUAUGAGAUCUUGUGGAGGCUUCUGGAGAUAGCAUCUAGCUAGUCAAAACGCUAUGAGAUCUUGUGGAGGCUUCUGGAGAUAGCAUCUAGCUAACCUUAAAUCCUUGGCACUGGUCAUCGUCGGUUGAUUUGUUCAAAUCCGUUAUUUCCUCAUGACAUGCUGCUGUUUGUUGAGGUGCUUGCCGUAUUCAGGACCAGUUGCGCCCCGUCUCUGUGCGACUAGAAACCAUGCAUGGGUUGUUGGUCUGUCUUGUCAGCUGUUUUGGCAGAGGAAACUGGGAAAGGGUGGUCAAGCUGCAUUCAGUCAAACCCUACAUAAAGAACCAGGGAUUUCAAGCAACCAGUUAGUCCAUGUCCUCUUCAGGUGUUCCUUUUUGUCAGUCACAUCCGUGCCCAGUAGUUGGUAUGUUUUGGCAAGUGUAGUUAAUGGAUUAGCUAAUGAUCUCUGUGUCGUGUACAGGUUUGAGAGGUGCUUGUACAACAACAAAAAAGAACAAACAUAUUUUAUAAAACAUCUUUUACCAACUGACAGUAGGGUUAAUCCUUUUUAUUUUAUUUUUAUAUGCAAAAUGUUAAGGGCUUUGGCACUCCAUCCACAGUAACCCGAAAUGACCCUUAUUUCAGUUGUGUUGAUUUAAUAAAUUAUGGACCAGUAAAAUGGUGCCCUGAGUGUUCCUCUGUCCUGUACUGUCUAACACUGACCUCAACCUACAGGGCAGUGAAGGGCCUUAAAAACCUGAUUCACCCAUUCACCUUCAGAUAGACACAUUGUAGCGGGAGGCAGAUGGGAACCUUUCUUCUAAUCAUACCUGGACAUUAGAAACCCCAGCUUACUUCAUUAAUCUAGCCUAUUGUAGAAGGGGUUUGUCCACAGACAUGCUUGGUUUAGAUGUUAUUGUUGUAAGGGCCUAUCUAUCCUGUUCUCUGUGCUUCCCUGCUCAGAUAUUGGAUGGCAUUUCCUUCAUAUUAUCCUCUUGUGGUCGGGAAAUGCUGCUCAACAACAUUGACAAGACAAAGGAGGCCUACUUAAAGAGAUAUAUUGGUCUAGUAGUUUGUCACAAAAACAGUUUUCAGAGAACUGUGGGACAAGCUUUCCCUGUUGUUGAACAAUCGGGUAACCAUUUUCUGGUUCAUUCAAUACAGCACAACCUGAAUAUUUUUCUGCUGCAAAAUCAAGUCCACCAUUCUCUUUUACAUACUUACCGAUAUAUGUAUACACAAAUGCAGUCCAUUCUGUUGCAUGUGUGUGUAUAAAACAUACAGUAUGGUUUAAUCCCUGACAUCGAAGGCUUAGAGACUUGUAUAAAUCAUCAAAAAUAAAUAAAAUGGUGCUAUUGGACCUCAUGUUUGGGCGGUCGCAGGUUUCGUGACUGGUCAUGCGGACUCAUCGAUCAUAUCCGACUUAUUAUCCUUGAUAUAUGCAGAUCUGUUCAACAGGUGUUUUUUUCCUACCAGUGUAAGUCAACACCCUGCAGGUUUGAAAGGACAAGAAGUCACUACUAAUCCCCCUCCCCCCAACUCCCUGCCUCAUGGCCUGGGGGUUAAAGGUAUAGUCUGUCGUUCAGUAGAUUGUUGCAUCAGAAGGGGAGAUUCGCUCCUGGGCUGGGACAGUAAAGAGUUGGAGUAAAAGGGGUCUAUCACCCCUCCUCUCCAGUCUCCCAUCGUAGGCCCCUUUCCCUGUCCAGCCCACGAUUGGAUGUUCCUCUUAGAAGCACACCCAUAACACUUCAUAUUUUACUCUUGUUAAAUCGUGAGUUUUUAUAGCUGUCCUGUAUCAUUUACUCAUCCAUGGAGUUGAUUAUCAGCUUAAAGGUCAUCUGACAGAAGGUUCUCACUCAACUCUGGCUCUUACAAACUCCCUCAAAGGAAGUCGUGCUUCUCAUGUAAUAUUGUCAUUCAUGUAGUCCUCUAUAACAGUGGUUUCUUUAAGCUGGACAUGAGUGUGGGUUUAGUUGGCAGGUUUAGUGAGCCAGAUGAGUGAUUGCUGAUAUCAUCAGGAUGCUCACAUAAUUAUUGUAUUUGACUUGGACAAUUCGUUGCCAUUCAUGAAUCACUCUUCCGUAUGACCGUAAGUGUAUCAUGUAACGUAAUUUUAACAUGGAAAUGACUGAACGUAAAGGUUCAUGAAUAUCAAUAAAUCUCAGUCAAAUGUGAUGUGAUUUUCCUGGUGUCCUUCAAAAGAUUAUUCUGACUGCUAAUUUGCAGUUAGUUUAAACACACCUCUGACCAUGGACGAGUGACCAUUGUUCAUACUGACACAACUGGGAUAAGGUGUAAAGACAGUGUCAUUUGGUUCCAUUGCCGGUUUAGCCCCUGCAUUCCUUGUAUGUGUACCGGUAUGCAUAUAUUUUUGUGGAAUACUUAAGCUCCUAUUACCUUUGUAUGUUCAACCGAACCAAAGAUGCCUCUGCCCCAUAGAGAUGUAUAGAGAUCAUAACAUGGAAGUAACCUGUUUUUGCAUGGACAUUUAGGGCUUCCUCCAUUUUAAAAUGGUCAACUGGGUGGAGAUUCCUAUGGUUUGGGAGUGAUCGACCAAUGAGCAGAGCAUUGUUUUCUUCUUCAAAUUAGUUUGUAAUUGGCUUUAAGCUAUAUGACUGCCAUCUAACGGCCACAAUAAAUUUAACACAAUUUGGUUCAAGACUCCAUCACUGCAGGUGGUAGUAAGUCACCAAUGUUUGCUUUACACUUUUUCAAACAUCAAAAGAAGAAAAAAAUGGACUACUUUAAAAUGGAGAAAGCCUCAAUGGCACUGUGCGUGCUGUCACAGACGCCAUAAUGGCAUAGAUACAACGUAGCGAUUUCUAUACAUCUCUAUGUUCUGGCCAAGUCCAAAUGCUGCUCUUCAGGCCUGGCUUCCUGUCCUUCCAAAAAACACCCCUGCAAGAGACAAAAUGUUAUUUUUUUCCGUCUGUUUCAGAUUUUUUUUAUCUGUUUUUUGUACGAUUUCUAACUUGUCUUUUGAUUUCUUUAGCAACCUCUUAUUCAAUGAAUUUAAUUGAUUGUCUGAAGCCUUACCCGGCGUCAAGGACAGUGAAAUUACUUGGUUGCACACAGUUUUUUUUAUUUUGUUGUCGUCACUUGUAUUUUCAUUUUUUUCAUUUUUUAAACAAAAAAAACCCCAUAGCGUGCCUCCUAGAUGUAUGAGUUUCUGUGUUUCUUUCCUAAAGACCAGCAGUUAUACUUUAUAUAAAAGAUGAGUUUGUCCUUAUUUUUUACGCCGUUAAAGAUGAAAAAAGACCUCUUUUCUUUACUCUGGACCCAGUAGCUGCACUGGUAUACAAUCGCACUAAUAGAUAAACAAAAAAAAAUAAAAAUAAAUGAAUCAAUAAUAAAUGAAAUAAGAACUACAAUAAACUUGUGUUUGGAACUUUUAUAAGAUUUACUAAAAUAAAAUAAAUUACUGUUUUUGUACAUCAAAAUCUAUUAUUUUCCCCAAAACUAUUUUGGAUCUAGUUUCUAAAUUAUUUGAGUUGUUUUCUAUGUUCUGAAAAUGUGUCGCUGUGCAGAGCAACUGUCUCUGCUGUGGUGGCAUGACGGGGCGCGGGGUUGCCUGGUGUAACCCCUCACACCCACCUUUUAUUUCUUCUACUUUUCAUUUUUGGUUCCGUCUCUUUCCCUGCUUUAGUAACUUAAAUGUUGAUGGAAUAAUAUGAACUGGGGGAAAAAAAGACUCCUUUAGAGCUAGAGUCUCCUUCCUCUCCCAUUGAAUUGCUGUUAGUGUGAUGAGACUUGAAAUGGGCAUUUAUGAUAGUAUGGCUCCAAAAAAAUACAGAAAAUGAAAAAUGUUUUUAAAAAAUGUGUGGGGAGGGAGAAAAUCUUAUAUAUAGAUGGGUUAUCAGUGGGUAUGUGAGCAAUGGCUGUGGAUAUGAUCAUGUAGUUUUAAACAUUGUUAUUACCUUUUUAAAUUCAUUUAGCCAAUAAAAAUGAAUAAAACCAUGUG